CAUGAGGCUUGACACUGCUACUGUCACAAUGGGAGACAGCCUCAGGAUGAAGCCAACACUCAGAGAAUGACAAAAUCAAAACUUGGAGAUUAACUGACCUCAUAUAGCAUUGCAUAAGCCCCUGAAUCAAGUUAUGCCUGAAGCUUAGUCCUUGAGCCUUCAACUACAUGAACCAAUAUAUUUCUCUAAUUAACCAGGAGAAACGGACUUUCUUUAAAUCAUCAAUCUUUAAAAACAUCAAGAAAUGGUGGUCUUCAACAAAUGAGGAGGAAUGAAGGAGAAUGAUCCUAUUUUCCAGUGAAUUAUCACUUUACUUUGGAGACUUUGUGGGAAGACUUACUACGAAAGUUCCUUUUGAAGAACUGAAGUGAUCUUAUCCCUGCCUGAAAAUGUAACUCUCCUUCUCUAGUAAUAUAAUGACCAGAGAAGAGUGUUAUUUCAGCUGAUUAAAAUAGCUUUGUUGUAAAA
rnacentral:lncRNA from 10 species